UUUAUACGUCGAAUUUCGGUCGCGUCGAAUGCAAUUCAAACAAUAAAUAAUGAAGCUUAAUGAUGUUUAAUUAUCUCAUUAUCUAUUGUCUUAAUUGCAUUCAACGCGAUCAAAAUUCGACGUAUAAA